UACGGAGGAUCCAAGCGUUAUCCGGAUUCAUUGGGUUUAAAGGGUGCGUAGGCGGAAUUGUAAGUCAGUGGUGAAAGCCCUCAGCUUAACCGAGGAACUGCCCUCCAAACUGUCUGGCUUGAGACCGGGAGAGGUGAGUGGAAUUCCCAGUGUAGCGGUGAAAUGCGUAGAUAUUGGGAGGAACACCAGUGGCGAAGGCGGCUCACUGGACCGGUACUGACGCUGAUGCGCGAAAGCGUGGGGAGCAAACGGG
rnacentral:rRNA from 1 species